rnacentral:rRNA from 1 species
GCACUGACUGCUAUCGGAUUGAUACUAAGCCAUGCGAGUCAUUGUAGCAAUACAAGGCAGACGGCUCAGUAACGCGUAGUCAACCUACCCUAUGGACGGGAAUAACCUCGGGAAACUGAGAAUAAUGCCCGAUAGAACAUUAUGCCUGGAAUGGUUUAUGUUCCAAAUGAUUUAUCGCCGUAGGAUGGGACUGCGGCCUAUCAGUUUGUUGGUGAGGUAAUGGCCCACCAAGACUAUUACAGGUACGGGCUCUGAGAGGAGUGGCCCGGAGAUGGGUACUGAGACACGGACCCAGGCCCUAUGGGGCGCAGCAGGCGAGAAAACUUUGCAAUGUGCGAAAGCACGACAAGGUUAAUCCGAGUGGUUUCUGCUAAAGGAACCUUUUGUCGGUCCUAGAAACACCGAUGAAUAAGGGGUGGGCAAGUUCUGGUGUCAGCCGCCGCGGUAAAACCAGCACCUCAAGUUGUCAGGAUGAUUAUUGGGCCUAAAGCAUCCGUAGCCGGCUCUGUUAGUUUUCGGUUAAAUCUGUACGCUUAACGUACAGGCUGCCGGGAAUACUGCAGAGCUAGGGAGUGGGAGAGGUAGACGGUACUCGGUAGGAAGGGGUAAAAUCCUUUGAUCUUUUGGUGACCACCUGUGGCGAA